rnacentral:lncRNA from 1 species
AGCAAUUCUCCUGCCUCAGCUUCCCAAGUAUCUGGGACUACAGGGUUUUUACCUUAAAUAACUAAUUACUGGCCAUAUUUGGGAAGUGUUGAAAAAAAGCAGACAAUCUGAGGAUGAUGUUGACUUGGGGAUCCAAAGGCACAGGUGACAACAUCAAAACUACCUGCAAGUCUCACUUCAUGGAACACAACAGAAACUCUGCAUAAGAAAAAAGGAAAUCCACAAAGCUUGUAGAAUGGUAACAACUACUAUAUAUAUAUAUAUAUAUAUAUAUAUAUAUAUAUAUAUAUAUAUAUGCACUGUUUUAGGAUGUAAAAACUCUUCAAUAAAAAUGCUCCAACUGGAACCUCAAGAUCGAACUGCGAGUUAGAGAGAAGAGAAGGAACUGGGCUGAAGGAAGUGCAGUACCCAGGCAAAGGCACACAACUAGUGAGCAAGGGGGCAGAGACCAAGCUCAAGGUCUCAGACAUCACCCCUUGAGCUGUUUCCACAAUACCACAUGCUACUCACAUUGAUUGACUGAUUGAUUGAUUGACAUGGUCUCUGUCGCCAGGCUGCAGUGCAGUGGCGUGAUCUUG